rnacentral:rRNA from 1 species
UACGAAGGAUUCGAGCGUUAUCCGGAUUUAUUGGGUUUAAAGGGUGCGUAGGUGGACUAAUAAGUCAGUGGUGAAAGCCCGCAGCUUAACCGAGAAAUUGCCAUUGAUACUGUAGGGCUUGAGUAUAGUUGCCGUUGGCGGAAUAUGACAUGUAGUGGUGAAAUACAUAGAGAUGUCAUAGAACACCGAUUGCGAAGGCAGCUGACGAAACUAUAACUGACACUGAGGCUCGAAAGUGCGGGGAUCAAACAGG